CCCAGACUCCUACGGGAGGCAGCAGUGGGGGAUAUUGCACAAUGGGGGGAACCCUGAUGCAGCGACGCCGCGUGGGUGAAGGAGUGCUUCGGCAUGUAAAGCCCUAUCGGCAGGGAAGAAGCAAGACGGUACCUGACUAAGAAGCCCCGGCUAACUACGCGCCAGCAGCCGCGGUAAUACGUAGGGGGCGAGCGUUAUCCGGAUUCACUGGGUGUAAAGGGAGCGUAGACGGCGAUGCAAGCCAGAUGUGAAAGCCCGGGGCUCAACCCCGGGACUGCAUUUGGAACUGUGUGGCUGGAGUGUCGGAGAGGCAGGCGGAAUUCCUAGUGUAGCGGUGAAAUGCGUAGAUAUUAGGAGGAACACCAGUGGCGAAGGCGGCCUGCUGGACGAUGACUGACGUUGAGGCUCGAAAGCGUGGGGAGCAAACAGGAUUAGAUACCCUGGUAGA
rnacentral:rRNA from 1 species